rnacentral:rRNA from 1 species
AUUGAACGCUGGCGGCAUGCCUUACACAUGCAAGUCGAACGGCAGCGGGGACUUCGGUCCGCCGGCGAGUGGCGAACGGGUGAGUAAUGUAUCGGAACGUACCUUUCAGUGGGGGAUAACGUAGCGAAAGUUACGCUAAUACCGCAUAUUCUCUGAGGAGGAAAGCAGGGGACCUUCGGGCCUUGCGCUGAUGGAGCGGCCGAUAUCAGAUUAGCUAGUUGGUGGGGUAAAGGCUCACCAAGGCUACGAUCUGUAGCGGGUCUGAGAGGAUGAUCCGCCACACUGGGACUGAGACACGGCCCAGACUCCUACGGGAGGCAGCAGUGGGGAAUUUUGGACAAUGGGCGAAAGCCUGAUCCAGCCAUGCCGCGUGAGUGAAGAAGGCCUUCGGGUUGUAAAGCUCUUUCGGACGGGAAGAAAUCAUGAGGGCUAAUAUCCCUUGUGGAUGACGGUACCGUAAUAAGAAGCACCGGCUAACUACGUGCCAGCAGCCGCGGUAAUACGUAGGGUGCGAGCGUUAAUCGGAAUUACUGGGCGUAAAGCGUGCGCAGGCGGUUUUGUAAGACAGGCGUGAAAUCCCCGGGCUCAACCUGGGAACUGCGCUUGUGACUGCAUCACUUGAGUACGGCAGAGGGGGGUGGAAUUCCACGUGUAGCAGUGAAAUGCGUAGAGAUGUGGAGGAACACCGAUGGCGAAGGCAGCCCCCUGGGUCGAUACUGACGCUCAUGCACGAAAGCGUGGGUAGCAAACAGGAUUAGAUACCCUGGUAGUCCACGCCCUAAACGAUGUCAACUAGGUGUUGGGUGGGUAAAACCAUUUAGUACCGUAGCUAACGCGUGAAGUUGACCGCCUGGGGAGUACGGCCGCAAGGUUAAAACUCAAAGGAAUUGACGGGGACCCGCACAAGCGGUGGAUGAUGUGGAUUAAUUCGAUGCAACGCGAAAAACCUUACCUACCCUUGACAUGUCCAGAAGCCUGAAGAGAUUUGGGUGUGCCCGAAAGGGAACUGGAACACAGGUGCUGCAUGGCUGUCGUCAGCUCGUGUCGUGAGAUGUUGGGUUAAGUCCCGCAACGAGCGCAACCCUUGUCGUUAAUUGCCAUCAUUUAGUUGGGCACUUUAACGAGACUGCCGGUGACAAACCGGAGGAAGGUGGGGAUGACGUCAAGUCCUCAUGGCCCUUAUGGGUAGGGCUUCACACGUCAUACAAUGGUCGGUACAGAGGGUUGCCAAGCCGCGAGGUGGAGCCAAUCCCAGAAAGCCGAUCGUAGUCCGGAUUGGAGGCUGCAACUCGCCUCCAUGAAGUCGGAAUCGCUAGUAAUCGCGGAUCAGCAUGUCGCGGUGAAUACGUUCCCGGGUCUUGUACACACCGCCCGUCACACCAUGGGGAGUGGGUUCUGCCAGAAGUAGGUAG